GCACACCUGCCUGCCUAACCACUUACGUGCCUACGGGUAUGCCUUUCCGAAAGUAACCACAGCUAAUUUAAUUGAAUUAUGAACAAGGUAUUUGAUGAAAAAAAAAAAAAAAAAAAGAUUAGAAAGACACAAAAUUUGAGACUAAAUGACGCUACCUAAAAGAACCAAGUAAGUUGAAAUUUUAGAGACAUUAUCUAUUAAAUGAUAAGAUACUUCAAAGUACACAUUUAUCUCGAAGGUUAUUUGAAAUAUGUCAUCAUACAGGGAGAGGGUUGUGACAAUAAUUUCGUAAUGAUUUAAUUCAAAAUUGCAACAUGUGAAACUAUAUGAAACAUGCGGUAAGAAAACAUAAUAAAGAUAUUUAAAGACAAACUGACAAUUUUUGUUUUGAACGGUGGACACGAGGCUCCGCCCUAUGGUAGAAACUGUCUUUCUUUCUGUCGUUUUGAAAUCGACCGAGAAAGUGAUGUCACUUUUAUGAGAGACAGAUGGAGACACAUAGAGACAGAGAGAGUGAGGGAAAAACUACAUGACAGUUGGAGACAGUACGGUCAUCGAGGAGACGCAGAGAGCACGAGUUACAUGGGAAACAUGGAAUUGGGUAGAUGGGAGAUACGUAAAAUGACUUUUGGAUUUUAUGGGUUGGACGUUUAUAAAAUAUUGUUGCAUCAAUCUUUGACAUGACAGGUGAACCGAUUUUACUGAUCUAGAGAAGGUGGGUGACGGUUUUGCAGCUGCACAUUUUAGGUCAAGACAUUUCAUUUUUCAAUUGUAGCUAUGGUAACUCAUUAAAACAAUAAAUUUCCUUUUCCUUUUUUAUCUUUAAAACAUAGAAGGCAAAUUUUGAUUCGAAUGACCGCGUACGGCUCAAUAGUGCGUUUUGUCAGUGUUUGUUCACUAGAAAGAUCAUAGAACCAGGCAGCCGGAAAAGGAGUUCUUUGAGAAAUUACGAUAAAAGUAGUAAAAAGCAACAAUAUGACUAAAAGUUUUGAAAUUUUCGCUUGACAUCACAAUUGUCAUCGCCACUGAGAAGAACAUUUCAAAACUUAACAACUGACUACAGAAUGACUAUAGAAUGACUAAAAUGCCAAGUUUAGGCAAUACAUUACGAAACUCUCUGGCUACCAGUUUUCUAGGCGACCUACACAAACCUUGUGCCUACACGUGUGACUAAUUCCAAAGGACCUAUUUUUAUUAAACUGAAUAUACCACAUUUUCUCUAUUUCAUUUUUUUUGGCUUGAAACUAAAAUUAAAUAAAUAAAAAGAAUCUGGAU
ensembl:antisense_RNA anr-54 ncRNA